AGAAAAGAAACAAAUGCCUAAAACCCCCUUUCUCUCCGCUCUACACAAAUGUCCCCUAAUUUCUGGAAAACACUGAUCCCCAUUUUCGGUGACACACGGUAGCCUCGAACGACGAUGGUUGAUGGUGACCCACGGUGGCGAUGGACGUUCGACGGCGAGCCACAGUGGCGAACGACGUCUGACGACGACCCACGACGCGAACGGAUUAGCUACACUUGAACGGCUACACGCGAACGGAACGUCUGGCUGUGACCCUUUAUGUUUAAUUGCUUGAGAAUUCUGGAUUUCACAUAAAAAAAACUUCUGUAAUAUAUGUAACACUUCGAACUAUGAGCGGGAUGAAAUGGUGACCUCCAGAAUUGUACAACUUCUAUGUAGGAAGGUCUAUAAAAUCGUUAUGUUGGAGGCCUGAUGGUAAGGUGAUAGCAGUGGGACUUGAAGAUGGCACAAUUUUAUUGCAUGAUGUUGAAAAUGGAAAGUUGUUGAGAAGCCUAAAGUCUCAUGAAGUUGUGUGGUUAGUCUAAAUUGGGUGGAAGAUAGCCAGUUGAUUACAGACAAAAAUGAAAUCUUGUCAACUUAUGAAGAUCGCACUCGCCGUAUUUUCCCUCCUGCUCCUACAAUUCCUCGAAUGCCUGGACUUGUUUCUGGAGAUACUGGUUGCAUUGACGACUCUGAAGACUCAUUUACGGAGUUGUCAAAUUCUUCACAUCAGCUGUUUAACAUCUUGUGCAGUGGUGACAAAGAAGGAAGCAUCUGUUUCAGCAUAUUUGGCGUUUUUCCAAUUGGAAAAAUAAUUGAUACAAGGAAUUUAUACAGUCAACUCGAGUUGGAUGAGGUGCGAAUGGAGCUUGUUGAUUUUUUGGUUGGCCACGUGAUUAUGGUGAUAGCUAAGUUCUUUUGGGUCAGAUGGACAAUUUUUAUUGAUACUGGAUAUAGGUGAACUAGUUUUGUUGAUAUUUUGUUGAUACUGGAUAUAGGUGAAAGACAAGUUUUGAUAUGGUACACCUUUAGGCUACAUAGAUGGAAAGUUUAAGCUAUUAUUAGAAGUUUAGGCUACUCGUGUAUAUAUAUAUAUAUAUAUAUAUAUAUAUAUAUAUAUAUAUAUGUUGAUAUUUUGUUGAUACUGGAUAUAGGUGAACUUCAAAACAGGUGCAAGAUAAAUUAUAUGGAUAAUUUAAAAUAUAUAAUUUUUCAUUUGAAAAAAAAACUUAGACAAGUAAAAACUAUAAAAAACAAAACUCCAUUUAUUCUUGACACCGGAUUACUUGAUGCAUAAAAACUGUAAAAAAAGCUUAUAUACUUGAUGCUUAAAAACUGUCAAGUAAACUUGUCUUAUUACUUUUAAUUUUCAUGUCCGUAGAAUUUUCAAAUUAAUUUGGAUUUCUUUUGUAGCAUAUUUAGACAUAUCUCUCUAUACGUGUGGUUUAGUUUUUCCAUCUACUGUCAUGAAAUGCCUUAGUUUAUCUUGUUUCUAACCGAAAGUCUAUUUUUCUCUAUCAUACAGGCCCAUACUCACUUUGUACAUCUUUGACUAAGAUCAUCUUUACUACUUGGAAGAUUACUGAUAUCGCAUGGGAAUUCUGUAUCGCAGAUGCAGUAUGUCAUAAUUUAAUUGGAAAAAACAACACCUUUCUAUUUCUUGUGUACUGACUUGUGUUCUGUAAACAUGUUGCUGUAGUUUACUUUAAACAUGAUCUUGAGUUUGAAGUGAGCUUUCUUCGUACA